rnacentral:lncRNA from 1 species
GGCAUAACCAUCUCUUCUGAUCUCACGGAAGCGAUUAAAGGCUGAAUUAUCUCGUCCAGUUUGGCAUGUCCAACGGUUCGACAAUUUUGAGAUCAUGUAAUCUCACAGCUAACAAUCCAGCUGUCCGAUAUUCAUCUAUAUAAACAGCCAGAGCCCUAAGAACCCAGGUAAGUUCAAUUGAACUCCUCUCAGAGAAUCCAUUGCUGCUUCUUUAUUCUCUGCUUUUCUGAUUGGAGCAUCGGAGGGUCCUCGUCGGAGCCACAAUCUCUGGUUUGGGAUUUGUUUUGUAGAUCACUCCAACACCAGCAUCUCCGCUCGAGGUUUUCAGAUAUCUGUCUUCUGACCCGGACCGAUUUAAGCAGUAAUAGAUAGAGGAAGGGCACUAUAUUCACAUUCAUGGCUCCAAAACGGACAUCUUUUCUGCUUUUCAAUGCCGUCGCUUUCCAACAGGCGACCAACCAGGCUGACAAUCAAGUUUAGCUGCUUGCGCCAGAAAUUCCUCCGUCGAUUCAAUCGGUCGUCCCUCCACCAGUUCAACUAGUCCUUCCAGUGCCAGUCACAGUCGAUCAAUUCGGUCAACUCUUCCAGCAUGG